CCUACGGGGGGCAGCAGUAGGGAAUAUUGCGCAAUGGACGGAAGUCUGACGCAGCGACGCCGCGUGAGCGAUGAAGGCCUUCGGGUUGUAAAGCUCUGUCAGGAGGGAAGAAUCGCCACGGUGCUAAUCAGCCGUGGUCUGACGGUACCUCCAAAGGAAGCACCGGCUAACUCCGUGCCAGCAGCCGCGGUAAUACGGAGGGUGCGAGCGUUAAUCGGAAUCACUGGGCGUAAAGCGCACGUAGGCUGCUUGGUAAGUCAGGGGUGAAAGCCCGCGGCUCAACCGCGGAAUUGCCUUUGAUACUGCCGAGCUAGAGUCCGGGAGAGGGUAGUGGAAUUCCAGGUGUAGGAGUGAAAUCCGUAGAGAUCUGGAGGAACAUCAGUGGCGAAGGCGACUACCUGGACCGGUACUGACGCUGAGGUGCGAAAGCGUGGGGAGCAAACAGGAUUAGAUACCCGUGUAGUCAC
rnacentral:rRNA from 1 species